rnacentral:lncRNA from 1 species
CCGCAUGUCUUUGUUUGAGUCUGGGUCCUACCCUAGACCCGAUCAUAAAUAUGUUUUGUUUCUUUGGUAUAUUUGGAAAUUUUGAAUAUGUUUCCGGCAUUAUGAAUAUUUUUUUAGGUUUUUGGUUUACGAUUAUAGUUUUUGAUUUCAGGUAAAUUUUCAAAUUAAUUUUUUUUUUGGGUAUUUGGAUAAAAUUUUGGGUAUUUUCAAUUCAGUGUCAGAUUUUGAAUAAGAUUUUGAAAUUUUAGGUAUUUGAAUUUUAUGGAUAUUUGUUUGGAGUUUGAAGUACUUUUUG